rnacentral:rRNA from 1 species
GGGUCCGAGCGGCGACGGGUGAGUAACACGUGAGCAACCUACCCUCAACUUCGGGAUAAGCCUCGGAAACGGGGUCUAAUACCGGAUAUCACCACUUUCCUCAUGGUUUGUGGUUGAAAGUUCUGGCGGUUGGGGAUGGGCUCGCGGCCUAUCAGCUUGUUGGUGGGGUAAUGGCCUACCAAGGCGUCGACGGGUAGCCGGCCUGAGAGGGCGACCGGCCACACUGGGACUGAGACACGGCCCAGACUCCUACGGGAGGCAGCAGUGGGGAAUAUUGCGCAAUGGACGAAAGUCUGACGCAGCAACGCCGCGUGAGGGAUGACGGCCUUCGGGUUGUAAACCUCUUUCAGCAGGGACGAAGCGAGAGUGACGGUACCUGCAGAAGAAGGACCGGCCAACUACGUGCCAGCAGCCGCGGUAAUACGUAGGGUCCGAGCGUUGUCCGGAAUUAUUGGGCGUAAAGGGCUCGUAGGCGGUUCGUCACGUCGGGAGUGAAAACUCGGAGCUUAACUCCGAGCCUGCUUCCGAUACGGGCAGACUAGAGGUAGGCAGGGGAGAGCGGAACUCCUGGUGUAGCGGUGGAAUGCGCAGAUAUCAGGAAGAACACCGGUGGCGAAGGCGGCUCUCUGGGCCUUACCUGACGCUGAGGAGCGAAAGCGUGGGUAGCGAACAGGAUUAGAUACCCUGGUAGUCCACGCCGUAAACGUUGGGCGCUAGGUGUGGGGGACAUUCCACGUCCUCCGUGCCGCAGCUAACGCAUUAAGCGCCCCGCCUGGGGAGUACGGCCGCAAGGCUAAAACUCAAAGGAAUUGACGGGGGCCGCACAGCGGCGGAGCAUGCGAUUAAUUUC